rnacentral:rRNA from 1 species
AGAGUUUGAUCCUGGCUCAGGACGAACGCUGGCGGCGUGCCUAAUGCAUGCAAGUCGAGCGGGCUACGAUCUUCGGAUUGUAGCUUAGCGGCGAACGGGUGAGUAACACGUAGGUAAUCUACCCUUCAGAGGAGGACAACCUCAGGAAACUGAGGCUAAACCUUCAUACGUUCACUGGUAGGGACACUGGUGAAGAAAGAGUUACCUUAGUGGUAGCUGCUGAAGGAUGAGCCUGCGGCCCAUCAGGUAGUUGGUGAGGUAACGGCUCACCAAGCCGAAGACGGGUAACCGGUCUGAGAGGAUGUCCGGUCACACUGGGACUGAGACACGGCCCAGACUCCUACGGGAGGCAGCAGCAGGGAAUCUUGGGCAAUGGGCGAAAGCCUGACCCGGCGACGCCGCGUGGAGGAAGAAGUCCUUCGGGGCGUAAACUCCUGGACUGGGGGACGAGGAAGGACGGUACCCCAGUAGAAAGGGACGGCUAACUACGUGCCAGCAGCCGCGGUAAAACGUAGGUCCCGAGCGUUGUUCGGAUUCACUGGGUGUAAAGGGCGCGUAGGUGGUUGUCUGUGUCUCAUGUGAAAACUCAGGGCUCAACUCUGAGAUUGCGUGGGAAACUAGGCAGCUAGAGGACGGUAGAGGGGAGUGGAAUUCCCGGUGUAGCGGUAAAAUGCGUAGAUAUCGGGAGGAACACCGGUGGCGAAGGCGGCUCUCUGGGCCGAUCCUGACGCUGAGGCGCGAAAGCUAGGGGAGCGAACCGGAUUAGAUACCCGGGUAGUCCUAGCCGUAAACGAUGGGUGCUAGGUGUUG